UAGGGAAUCUUCGGCAAUGGGGGGAACCCUGACCGAGCAACGCCGCGUGAGUGAAGAAGGUUUUCGGAUCGUAAAGCUCUGUUGUUAAGGAAGAACGAGUGUGAGAAUGGAAAGUUCAUGCUGUGACGGUACUUAACCAGAAAGGGACGGCUAACUCCGUGCCAGCAGCCGCGGUAAUACGUAGGUCCCGAGCGUUUUCCGGAUUUAUUGGGCGUAAAGCGAGCGCAGGCGGUUAGAAAAGUCUGAAGUGAAAGGCAGUGGCUCAACCAUUGUAGGCUUUGGAAACUGUUUAACUUGAGUGCAGAAGGGGAGAGUGGAAUUCCAUGUGUAGCGGUGAAAUGCGUAGAUAUAUGGAGGAACACCGGUGGCGAAAGCGGCUCUCUGGUCUGUAACUGACGCUGAGGCUCGAAAGCGUGGGGAGCGAACAGG
rnacentral:rRNA from 1 species